rnacentral:rRNA from 1 species
GACGAACGCUGGCGGCGUGCUUAACACAUGCAAGUCGAACGAAGAGCGAUGGAAGCUUGCUUCUAUCAAUCUUAGUGGCGAACGGGUGAGUAACGCGUAAUCAACCUGCCCUUCAGAGGGGGACAACAGCUGGAAACGACUGCUAAUACCGCAUACGAUCUAACCUCGGCAUCGAGGAUAGAUGAAAGGUGGCCUCUACAUGUAAGCUAUCACUGAAGGAGGGGAUUGCGUCGGAUUAGCUAGCUGGAGGGGUAACGGCCCACCAAGGCGAUGAUCAGUAGCCGGUCUGAGAGGAUGAACGGCCACAUUGGGACUGAGACACGGCCCAGACUCCUACGGGAGGCAGCAGUGGGGAAUCUUCCGCAAUGGACGAAAGUCUGACGGAGCAACGCCGCGUGAGGGAUGACGGCCUUCGGGUUGUAAAGCUCUGUUAAUCGGGACGAAAGGCCUUCUUGCGAAUAGUUAGAAGGAUUGACGGUACCGGAAUAGAAAGCCACGGCUAACUACGUG